rnacentral:lncRNA from 1 species
CUUUAAUUUUUUAAUGAAGCGUUCAUAAUAAUUGUUAAAUAAAACCCAAAUGAAUAUUAUAAGUCCAAAUUAGUCUCCCAUCUGUUGCAUUAUAUCUUAUAUCAGAUCAGGGCGGGAAAAUCCGGGACUUUCUCCCGGUCCUACUUAAAAGCGCCCGGAAGCGCCGGAGAGCGCCCGGGAAUAGAAAAAGCGCCCGGGGAAGG